GACGAACGCUGGCGGCGUGCUUAACACAUGCAAGUCGAACGGAAAGGCCCUGCUAUUGUGGGGUGCUCGAGUGGCGAACGGGUGAGUAACACGUGAGUAACCUGCCCUUGACUUUGGGAUAACUUCAGGAAACUGGGGCUAAUACCGGAUAGGAGCUCCUGCUGCAUGGUGGGGGUUGGAAAGUUUCGGCGGUUGGGGAUGGACUCGCGGCUUAUCAGCUUGUUGGUGGGGUAGUGGCUUACCAAGGCUUUGACGGGUAGCCGGCCUGAGAGGGUGACCGGCCACAUUGGGACUGAGAUACGGCCCAGACUCCUACGGGAGGCAGCAGUGGGGAAUAUUGCACAAUGGGCGGAAGCCUGAUGCAGCAACGCCGCGUGCGGGAUGACGGCCUUCGGGUUGUAAACCGCUUUCGCCUGUGACGAAGCGUGAGUGACGGUAAUGGGUAAAGAAGCACCGGCUGACUACGUG
rnacentral:rRNA from 1 species